CUACGGGUUGCUGCAGUGGGGAAUCUUGCGCAAUGGGCGAAAGCCUGACGCAGCAACGCCGCGUGCGGGAAGAAUGCCCUUUGGGCUGUAAACCGCUUUCAGCAGGAACGAAAAUGACGGUACCUGCAGAAGAAGAAGCGGCCAACUAUGUGCCAGCAGCCGCGGUGAUACAUAGGCUUCGAGCGUUGUCCGGAUUUAUUGGGCGUAAAGAGUUCGUAGGCGGUUAAGUAAGUCGGGUGUGAAAAUUCUGGGCUCAACCCAGAAACGCCACCCGAUACUGCUUGACUUGAGUUCGACAGGGGAGUGGGGAAGUCCUAGUGUAGCGGUGAAAUGCGCAGAUAUUAGGAGGAACACCGGUGGCGAAGGCGCCACUCUGGGUCGACACUGACGCUGAGGAACGAAAGCAUGGGUAGCAAACAGGAUUAGAUACCCUCGUAGUC
rnacentral:rRNA from 1 species